AAAUCAGUUUUGAUCAUGAAAUUUUGAUGUUUGGAUGUAUUUUGAAAUUUUAUGAUAUAUUAUUUUCAUCAUAAUGAUUUUUAGAGUAAAAACCUUAAUUUAUAUGAAAUUAAUUUAAUUUGAUGGAUUUUUAAAGGAAAAUUUUUGAAAUCUGGGAUCGUGUACCGGUACAGGAUCGUGUACCGGUACGGGUACUGUAGCCGCGGAUAUAUAUCCGGUUACAG
rnacentral:lncRNA from 1 species